rnacentral:rRNA from 1 species
CCUACGGGGGGCUGCAGUGAGGAAUAUUGGUCAAUGGGCGUAAGCCUGAACCAGCCAUCCCGCGUGCAGGAAGACGGCGCUAUGCGUUGUAAACUGCUUUUCCAGGGGAAGAAAACCCCCGACGUGUCGGGGCUUGCCGGUACCUUGGGAAUAAGCAUCGGCUAACUCCGUGCCAGCAGCCGCGGUAAUACGGAGGAUGCGAGCGUUAUCCGGUUUUAUGGGGUUUAAAGGGUGUGGAGGCGGAUUGAUAGAAAACCUUCAGCUUAACUGGAGAAUUGCCGUUGAUACUGUUAGUCUUGAGGAUGGUCAAGGUAGGCGGAAUGUGUAAUGUAGCGGUGAAAUGCUUAGAUAUUACACAGAACACCGAUUGCGAAGGCAGCUUACUGGGCCAUAACUGACGCUGAGGCACGAAAGCGUGGGGAGCGAACAGGAUUAGAUACCCUAGUAGUC